rnacentral:lncRNA from 1 species
UCAUCUAUAGCUGCUCUAUCUGUACCACCAUUAUCUGUUUCAGCUGUUCCACCUUCCACUGAUCUAACUGUGCCAUCAUCAUCUACUCCAACUGUGGCAUCUUCAUCUGCUCCAACUGUGCCAUCAUCAUCUACUCCAACUGUGGCAUCUUCAUCUGUUCCAACUG